UACGGAGAGGGCUAGCGUUAUUCGGAAUUAUUGGGCGUAAAGGGCGCGUAGGCUGGUUAAUAAGUUAAAAGUGAAAUCCCGAGGCUUAACCUUGGAAUUGCUUUUAAAACUAUUAAUCUAGAGAUUGAAAGAGGAUAGAGGAAUUCCUGAUGUAGAGGUAAAAUUCGUAAAUAUUAGGAGGAACACCAGUGGCGAAGGCGUCUAUCUGGUUCAAAUCUGACGCUGAAGCGCGAAGGCGUGGGGAGCAAACAGGAUUAGAUACCCUGGUAGUCCACGCUGUAAACGAUGAGUGCUAA
rnacentral:rRNA from 1 species